GUCGAACGGUAACAGGUUAAGCUGACGAGUGGCGAACGGGUGAGUAAUGUAUCGGAACGUGCCCAGUCGUGGGGGAUAACUGCUCGAAAGAGCAGCUAAUACCGCAUACGACCUGAGGGUGAAAGCGGGGGAUCGCAAGACCUCGCGCGAUUGGAGCGGCCGAUACCAGAUUAGGUAGUUGGUGAGGUAAAGGCUCACCAAGCCGACGAUCUGUAGCUGGUCUGAGAGGACGACCAGCCACACUGGGACUGAGACACGGCCCAGACUCCUACGGGAGGCAGCAGUGGGGAAUUUUGGACAAUGGGCGCAAGCCUGAUCCAGCCAUGCCGCGUGCGGGAAGAAGGCCUUCGGGUUGUAAACCGCUUUUGUCAGGGAAGAAAAGGUUCUGGCUAAUACCUGGGACUCAUGACGGUACCUGAAGAAUAAGCACCGGCUAACUACGUGCCAGCAGCCGCGGUAAUACGUAGGGUGCAAGCGUUAAUCGGAAUUACUGGGCGUAAAGCGUGCGCAGGCGGUUAUGCAAGACAGAGGUGAAAUCCCCGGGCUCAACCUGGGAACUGCCUUUGUGACUGCAUGGCUAGAGUACGGUAG
rnacentral:rRNA from 1 species